GCAUAGGAAACUGCCCAGUAGUGGGGGAUAGCCCGGGGAAACCCGGAUUAAUACCGCAUACGUCCUCGGAGAAAGACAGGGAGUCUUCGGACCUUCGCGCUAUUGGAUGUGCCUAUGUCGGAUUAGCUAGUUGGUGAGGUAAAGGACUCACCAAGGCGACGAUCCGUAGCUGGUCUGAGAGGAUGAUCAGCCACAUCGGGACUGAGACACGGCCCGAACUCCUACGGGAGGCAGCAGUGGGGAAUAUUGGACAAUGGGGGCAACCCUGAUCCAGCCAUGCCGCGUGUGUGAAGAAGGCUU
rnacentral:rRNA from 1 species